GUUUUAUUGUUGAAAAGAUUCAGGACAAAGGGGAUAACAUAACACAAUCAAAAAGAGGAGAUGAAAAUUCUUCAGAUUUUAAGAAGAAAGCUCUCUUCUUCGCAGAUCCGAAGCACAGCUACUCCUUCACUAUCUUCGCCUCUCUUCUAUCGUCAUCUUCACUCCUCUUCAAAUCCGUACUUAAUUUAUCUCUAUCUCUUAUGUGUUUUUGCUAUAGUUUUAUGAAAAUCCAUAAUCUCUUGAUGCAGAGCUUCAUUCGGCGUAGCGUUCGACAUUGACGGCGUUUUGCUCCGUGGGAGCAACCCUAUCGGAGGCUCUCCUCGAGCUCUCAAACGCUUCUAUGAUGAUUCCGGCACUCUGAAGGUUCCCUAUGUAUUCUUGACCAAUGGAGGUGGUGUUCCUGAAUCUAAAAGAGCAAAGGAGUUGGGAAGUUUGUUGGAUGUUAAUAUCCUACCUUUACAGGUUAUACAAGGGCAUUCACCGUUCAAACAGUUGAUGAGAAGAUUUGAGAAUGAGCGUAUUGUUGCUGUUGGAAAAGGAGAACCCGCUGAAGUGAUGUCUGAAUAUGGUUUUAAAAAUGUUCUCUCCAUAGAUGAGUAUGCAUCUUAUUUUGACAACAUUGACCCAUUGGCACAAUACAAAAAAUGGACAGACAAGCUGGAUGGUAAUCAGAGUAGCAAUUCUAAGCAUAUAGCUUUGAGCAAUGAUCCAUGCUCGCAGAGAGUGGCGGCGGUCUUUGUUGUUAGCGAUUCUGUUGAUUGGAGCAGGGACAUUCAGGUUCUCUGUGACAUUCUAAGGACUGGAGGGCUGCCAGGAAAAGAUAUUGCACAUCAGCCACCACUCUUUUUUGCAAAUGAUGACCUUGCCUAUCAGGCCUUGUUUCCAUCCGAAAGACUUGGCAUGGGUGCUUUCAGAAUUGCAGUAGAAUCCGUCUUCAAUGCUAUCCAUCCUGCUGCUCUGAAGUAUACGUCAUAUGGGAAACCAAAUCCUUCUGUAUUUAAAAAUGCGGAGACAGUUCUGAUGCAUGUUCUACAAUCAUGUCACACUAACCAUCAGGUUGAUGGAAGAAAGCAGCUUUUCAAAACCUUAUAUAUGAUUGGUGAUAACCCCUUAGUUGAUAUCAAAGGAGCUCGACAGGCUGGAAGUCCUUGGUUCUCUAUUUUGACAAGAACUGGUGUCUUCAAGGGGAAAGAAAAUCAUGACGAUUUUCCAGCAGAUCUGGUUGUUGACACUGUGGAAGAAGCAGUAGACUACAUUUUGAGCAAGGAGUGUAUCUUAUGAUGCACAUCUGGUAAAAUUGUCACCGUGUUUUUACCUUAGAUAUGUUAAUCGGACUAAUUUCCAUGAGGAAGAUGGUGGUCGUCCUAGCUUUACAAGUAGACAUUUAUAUGCCUCUUUUUGGCGUGUGAUUUUUUUUUUCUUUUCAAUUUAUUCUUAUUUGCAAUAAAGCAUUGGUGAGAGCUCUGCACCUGCUGAAGAAACAGGUGCGACAAACCUGAUUCUUAGAUCUGAG
rnacentral:misc_RNA from 1 species